rfam:Lactobacillus sakei strain 23K complete genome.
UAGAGUUAUAAGAAGUUCCCGAUAGGAUUCACACACCGUGAAGAGGCCUUGUAACCGACACAUAUAUAGGGGGAAACAUAGAAAUG